CCCUGAAAAUGUCAUAAUCUGAUAACUAACACUAAUCAGGUUUUUAAGGAACCAAUUAUGGCAGCAAACACCAUCAUGGCAACUUUUCUCGUCCUCAUGUUUGUGUUUUCCCCUGCAUUAAUGCCAUGCGACGCAGAUCGUUUUACCCUCCAAGAAAUAUAUGGUGUUAAGGCUGCAGAGAAAUGUGGUCCUUGUGAAUGCUGCCGGACUCUUACACCCCCUUGCUGCCUCUGCGGACCCUGCCUUCCUCCUCAGCCCUGAAACAGAACACGGCUCAGUACAAGCACAACAUAUGAAUAAUUCAUGCACCUUAAUUUGUGAUUUCAUGUACUUUACUACAUAAUUGUUCGAAUAUUUGUCUACGUGAAGCUUUAUCCACAUUUUAUGCCUGUGUAAUAACAUUGGACUAUAUUAUUACAAAAGGAUUAUGGUAAUAAUCCAUGAAAAAGGAUAAAAUAUUUGGUUGGAAGUCUGUCAGACAGCUGCAAGACCAUCCCAGCUGGCUAGAGCCAACUGAGAACGAUCCUCUACUGCUUCACCAACUCAGAACCUGAGUUGAGAAGCUGUUAAUCACGCUCUGGUCAAGCAGCCAUAGUUCAUCCACCAGACUUGGUUUCCUGUCUCCUUAGAACUCAAGGAUACAGAGGUACGAGCCUAUAGAACAGAUCCUGUUCAAGUAAGGUCGUACCCAUCUACUCCAAUGUUCUACUAUAAAACUCGAGACCUUGUUUCGUAUAUUUUCGAUGUGGGACAUUAAGCCAGCCACUCUUUAUUUGAUUCUAAUAGUUUUUCCAAAAAAUAAAAAUAUUUAUUUUUUAUUUUAAGAUAAUAACAAAUUUUCAAGGAAAAUUUAAUGCAAGCAUAGAAAUUCAACAUUCAAAAAUCAACUGCAUCUCAUUCUUGACUUCACCCUUCUGAAUCCAUGUGCAGGAUAGUCAAAACACAACUUUCUUCCACAAACAACACAUAUAAAUAAUAUAUGCACCCUCAUUCAUACAUCCAUCACUGCAAUACCAAUUCUAAUUUUUACACUACUAUUAAUUUGUUUCAAUAUGGCAAGCAACAACUUGAGGUCCAUCGUGGCCACGCUCAUCGUUUUCGCCUUCGUUUUACCUCCGAUUUUGCCAACAGGUGAUGCCUCUCGACUCACCGUUGUCCAAGAGGUGAUCGCAAAAAGACCAAUAUGCCCAGCUUGCGUGUGUUGCGAGCCUCCACCGCCAGGCUCCUGCUGCCGCUGCUGCGCCUCUCCUUCCCCCAUCGCCUUCCAGCCCCAGAACGGCCAGCCAUGAUCGCUGCAACGCUUCCCCCACUCUGAAUAAGGACUCUAAAUAAGUGAAUUGUUCCACAAUUUCAUGAUUUCUUGAUUGAAUCAUGUAAUAAUAAUAUUGACUUAUGUCUGAACUCAUAUUUGCUUUCCUUAAAGUAUGUCCAAAUUGUUACAUAAUUUCAUGAUGGAAUUACAUAUUA